GCUCUUUUCACAUUGUGCUACUGAGCCCAACCCAAGCAGUGCAAUGUAAAAAGGGCAU
rnacentral:pre_miRNA from 1 species